rnacentral:rRNA from 1 species
CCUACGGGAGGCAGCAGUGGGGAAUCUUGGACAAUGGGCGCAAGCCUGAUCCAGCCAUGCCGCGUGGAUGAUGAAGGCCCUAGGGUUGUAAAAUCCUUUCGUUGGGGACGAUAAUGACGGUACCCAAAGAAGAAGCUCCGGCUAACUUCGUGCCAGCAGCCGCGGUAAUACGAAGGGGGCUAGCGUUGUUCGGAUUUACUGGGCGUAAAGCGCGUGUAGGCGGGUCGUUAAGUUGGGGGUGAAAUCCCGAGGCUCAACCUCGGAACUGCCUUCAAAACUGGCGACCUGGAGCAAGAUAGAGGCGAGUGGAAUUGCGAGUGUAGAGGUGAAAUUCGUAGAUAUUCGCAGGAACACCAGUGGCGAAGGCGACUCGCUGGAUCUUUGCUGACGCUGAGACGCGAAAGCGUGGGGAGCAAACAGGAUUAGAUACCCCUGUAGUC